CCUUUUGUUCUGCUUUAUUCUUUUACCUUGAAUACUUUGUCAAGUAUAAGACUUUUGCAACCCAUUGAACUCUUAACAGCUAAUCAAUAGUAUCCUUAAAAAUGAACUAUUUUCUUUGAUUACUGUUUUGCAGAUUAGGGUUUUUAAAAUAGCAGAAAAAGAGGAAGAUAUUAGUUUCUAUGGUGGUUUUGUAGAGCUUGGCUUCUGUUUUCUGGGGGAUUGGUGGCUGAUUCGCUAUGUUAAAAAACCGGUGACAAACAGAGACUAUCUCAGUGUUAGUGUAUACUAUUUUGCCACUCAGAUGCAGUUCAUUAUGUGAAACUUUACUGUGGAUUAUUUACAAUUCAGAACUAUACAUUUCUGAAACAAUCUUGGUUGUUCAUAUCUCAGGGUAAUUUUCAACACCCUUUUUGGCCUUAGUGUAAACUUUUGGAUGACCAUUUUUAGGAGGGCUUCUUCUUGGAAGCUUGAAUAGUUUUCUUGGGCCAAUCAGGGUACCAUAGUGUUCUGUAAUCAUAAUUGAUGGUUCCUCUACUGUUUCUCUUCUCUAGAUUUCCAUUUUCUCUUUUGUUUUGAGUUUGUGUAAUUGCUGAAGUGCUUCUAAGAUUUUACGGUUAAGGGAAAUAGCAAACCAACAUAUUCCAUAGUGAAAAACAUAAAAUAGUUAAACUUUUCUAAAACUUUUCACACUUUGAAAGAACUUCCCGAAUAUUGUUUGUGUGUGAAUCUCUCUCUUCCUUUUUCAUGUUUGCAAGUAUUAGUUUGAUAUUUCUGGACAAUCUUGUUAUUCAGCCAGCAGAGACGUAUCCAAAUAUGUUUUGAAAAAAGUUCAUCGUAUGGAAGGUAAGGUUUAUUUUGGCAUUCUUCCAAUAAUAGAUAUACCAUUGAAUUUUCUACACGCACCUUAAGUUUCUAGAAUCUUAUCAAAGUUCCAGGCGGCUUCUUGUCUUCCAAAGUCUGCUCUAUCCGCUUGUGGAAUGAUGAUUGGUGACAUGUUGGCUGCUCUGCUUUCAUUGCAGGGUGGAGCUGCUUGUAGCAUCUGUAUAUUUCCCAUUACUCUUCUUCUUCCAAGAGAAAAGAAGAGACAUGAGUAUCAUGAGGCUGUCAAGAAUCGAUACAAUCACCUUCCUGAAGUCAAGCGCAUUAGAAGGCAAGAUAGAGCAAGCAACUGUGCUUCCUAAAUAGCUUCACUUGUUUGUAGCAUAAUUAGUUACAAAGAUACUGUCCAUUUUUGUAUCUUCUGUAAAAAAAAUGAAUGGUGAUAGCAGGCAUAGGCAUUUACCAAAAUCAAUAGUCAAGGUGGCUGCUCUCAGACGAACCAUGACUGAAGCUCAGAGAAGAAAAGAAUAAAGGAGGAAAAAACACAGCACCCCAGGUAGUAUUACCAUAGAGUCACUACGUAAAAUGAGAAUCCUAAAAGUAGUUGAGUGAGUUAUGGACGGAUUCAUGAGGGGCUGUGCAUUUUGUAUUUGUUACCACAAUUGUGUAUUUCUAAUUUUUAUUGAUAGUUCAAUGAAAUAGGCUUCAUAGGUUUAAUUUUUA